rnacentral:lncRNA from 1 species
CAUCCGCAAGCUAUGACAGAUCGAUUCCAUAGAAAUAAAUCUUUUAACCUAUAUAAAUUCUCAAUGAUAUUGCCACGUGACAAGUUUUCUUCCACUCUCACUAACUUUUUUUUUGAAUUGAUCUUUACUCUUGGCUUUCUUCCUCUCUUCCUCUUUAUUCAAUGACCUAUAAUUAAUGUGUUUUUUAAUUUAUACAUUCCUGAGUUUUUCAUCUUCAAUAUUAGUUCUUUCUUCUUCCUUAAACAAUUCCUAACAUGCAAAAUUAAAAGAGAAGUAGAUAAAUAGUUACAGAGAUUGGGGAAGAGCAAGGGAGUCCUCCAAGCCCUAAUCCGUGCUAAUCUGACUGGACCCGACCCCUCCCUCCGAAUCAAGAGAGUGCUUCUAGAAUUUCUAUCUAUGUCGAUCUCUUCGGAUUUAUGAGAAAAGAAGGGUAAUCGAACGGUGUUUUCAAUAGAAGAAGUUAAUUGGACAACGAUACCGGACAGAUCGAGGGAUAGGUUUGGAAAAUGAAAAUCCUCAAACUAAUUUUCUUUUUUUUUUUAUUUUAAUCUCGAAUUCUUACUGCGUAUCCAUUUAAAAUUUAAUUUAUUUGCAUUAUUUUUUAUAUGGUGGUUGUAUCAAUCAAGGAAUUUGAUUUAUGUGUAUUAUUUUGAUUAAUUUAGAGAUUAGUUUUGAUUUCAUAAUUGAUGUGACAGUUCUGACCCACAACUUCUGACCAUCUCAUGUCCAAAAGGGUGCAAAAUCUUGCAAACUUCCAUGAAAUUUUCAUCGCCACCGUUGUCAUCAUCGCAACAUUAUCAUCUCCAUCUUUAUACGGCCUUUGUAGUUUUUUUGUUUGAAUGGUGAUUCUGGGCAUUUAUCAAUUUUCAAUGGCCAUAUUAGUUAAUUCUAUUCAUACAUUUUCCUACCCAAAAAAUAAAACACACUUGAACUUUUAUUUUUCAAACUCCUUUCUUCUUCAUGUUCAAUAUUUUUUCUUUUUUUUUUCCAUUAUUUAUCCGCCGCAUCGCGCGGGUUACUACACUAUAAAUAAAUAAAGCUAAAGAAAAGAAAAAACAGCAAAAAAAAAAAGAGAGGAAGAGUCAAAAAAUAAAAAAGAAUAAAAAAACUGAAAAAAACGCCAUAGCUCUUAUAAAAGUAUAAGAAGGAUAAAAAAAGUAAGAAUAAAACCAUAAGAAUAAUAAAUUAUAUUUACAGCAAUAGUAAAAGUUCAGGAUUAAAUGUCAUAUGCCUCAUAGUUUGAGCUAAAAAUUGAAACUAAUGAAAGUUUGAUGACUAAAGUGUCACGUCUCAUAGUUUGAGCCAGAAAUUAUAACACAUUAAAGUUCGAGAACUAAAAUAUUAUGCAUCUUAUAGUUCAAGGACCAAAAGUGAAAUUUACUUUUUUAGUUGAAGACAGAGUUAAGCAUCGAUCGGUUUUGUUUAAUUAGUAAUUUUAUUCGAAGAAAUAAUUCGUUAAACUAUCUAAUAAAUUUUAGAAUCUCUAAUUGUUAAAAGUAAAAGUUGACCAAUCAUAUUUUGAAUAUUCUAAAAAAUUUUAAAUGUGAAGUUGCUCGUUUAUUAAAUUAUAAAUAUUACAUUGAAGUUCAAUAUUAAAAUUAAAAUAACAAUGUAUAGAACUUUUCUAAACUAUGAAAUAUUUUAAAUCAAAUAUCCAACCUUUCAAAAUUAUGUUUUUAUAGAUUUGAGUCAGUCAAUGAUAUUCUGACCUCAAAAUUUACAUAUGUUUGUUUAGUUUUACAGAUUUAGUUAGUAUACUUUAUACAUUUCACACAAUUAAAUUUAUUAAAAUAAAUAAUUACUUAAGCUCUAUCAAUCUUUAUUUUAUUUUUUAUUAUACUAUUUAUAUCUAAGUGAUCAGUAUUAUAAAACUAAAAUUUACAUUUAAAAAAUACA